rnacentral:rRNA from 1 species
GCAAUCGGCAGUGCGGACGGGUGAGUAACGCGUAGGAAUCUAUCCUUGAAUGGGGGACAACCGUGGGAAACUACGGCUAAUACCGCAUGAUGCCUGAGGGCCAAAGACGAAAGUCGUUUGAGGAGGAGCCUGCGUCUGAUUAGGUAGUUGGUGGGGUAAAGGCCUACCCAAGCCUACGAUCAGUAGCUGGUCUGAGAGGAUGAUCAGCCACAUUGGGACUGAGACACGGCCCAAACUCCUACGGGAGGCAGCAGUGGGGAAUAUUGGACAAUGGGCGCAAGCCUGAUCCAGCAAUGCCGCGUGGGUGAAGAAGGUCUUCGGAUUGUAAAGCCCUUUCGACGGGACGAUGAUGACGGUACCCGUAGAAGAAGCCCCGGCUAACUACGUG